CCUCUUCUAGCUUCUCAAAGCUUUCAUGGUGUAGCCAAAGUCCAUAUUAGUCUUUGGCUUUGUGUCUUCUAACAAGGAUACAGUUCUUACGCCUUUAAGAUCCGGUUGCAGUUUAAGUUGUUAUACUCAAUCAUACACAUGACAUCAAGUCAUAUUCGACUCCAAAACACUAACCAACCUUCUUCUUGCUUCUCAAAGCUUUCAUGGUGUAGCCAAAGUCCAUAUGAGUCUUUGGCUUUGUGUCUUCUAACAAGGAAACACUACUUAGGCUUAUAAGAUCCGGUUGCGGUUUAAGUUCUUAUACUCAAUCAUACACAUGACAUCAAGUCAUAUUCGACUCCAAAACACUAACCAACCUUCGUCUUGCUUCUCAAAGCUUUCAUGGUUUAGCCUAAGUCCAUAUGAGUCGUUGGCUUUGUGUCUUCUAACAAGGAAACUCUUCUUAGCCUUUUAAGAUCGGGUUGCGGUUUAAGUUGUUAUACUCAAUCAUACACAUGACAUCAAGUCAUAUUCGACUCCAAAACUCUAACCAACCCUCUUCUAGCUUCUCAAAGCUUUCAUGGUGUAGCCAAAGUCCAUAUUAGUCUUUGGCUUUGUGUCUUCUAACAAGGAUACACUACUUAGACUUUUAAGAUCGAGUUGCGGUUUAAGUUGUUUUACUCAAUCAUAAACAUGACAACAAGUCAUAUUCGACUCCAAAACACUAACCAACCUUCUUCUUGCUUCUCAAAGCUUUCUUGGUGUAGCCAAAGUCCAUAUGAGUCUUUGGCUUUGUGUCUUCUAACAAGGAUACAAUUCUUACUCCUUUAAGAUCCUGUUGCCGUUUAAGUCCUUAUACUCAAUCAUACCCAUGACAUCAAGUCAUAUUCGACUCCAAAACACUAACCAACCUUCUUCUUGCUUUUCAAAUCUUUCAUUGUUUAGCCAAAGUCCAUAUGAGUCUUUGGCUUUGUGUCUUCUAACAAGGAAACACUACUUAUGCUUUUAAGAUCGGGUUGCGGUUUAAGUUCUUAUACUCAAUCAUACACAUGUCAUCAAGUCAUAUUUGACUCCAAAACACUAACCAACCUUCUUCUUGCUUCUCAAAGCUUUCAUGGUGUAGCCAAAGUCCAUAUGAGUCUUUAGCUUUGUGUCUUCUAACAAGGAUACAGUUCUUACGCCUUUAAGAUCCGGUUGCGGUUUAAGUUGUUAUACUCAAUCAUACACAUGACAUCAAGUCAUACUCGACUCCAAAACACUAACCAACCUUCUUCUUGCUUCUCAAAGCUUUCAUGGUGUAGCCAAAGUCCAUAUGAAUCUUUGGCUUUGUGUCUUCUAACAAGGAAACACUACUUAGGCUUAUAAGAUCGGGUUGCGGUUUAAGGUCUUAUACUCAAUCAUACACAUGACAUCAAGUCAUAUUCGACUCCAAAACACUAACCAACCUUCUUCUUGCUUCUCAAAGCUUUCAUGGUUUAGCCUAAGUCCAUAUGAGUCCUUGGCUUUGUGUCUUCUAACAAGGAAACACUACUUAGGCUUUUAAGAUCGAGUUGCGGUUUAAGUUGUUAUACUCAAUCAUACACAUGUCAUCAAGUCAUAUUUGACUCCAAAACACUAACCAACCUUCUUCUUGCUUCUCAAAGCUUUCAUGGUGUAGCCAAAGUCCAUAUGAGUCUUUAGCUUUGUGUCUUCUAACAAGGAUAGAGUUCUUACGCCUUUAAGAUCCGGUUGCGGUUUAAGUUGUUAUACUCAAUCAUGCACAUUACAUCAAGUCAUACUCGACUCCAAAACACUAACCAACCUUCUUCUUGCUUCUCAAAGCUUUCAUGGUGUAGCCAAAGUCCUUAUGAGUCUUUGGCUUUGUGUCUUCUAACAAGGAAACACUACUUAGGCUUUUAAGAUCGGGUUGCGGUUUAAGUUGUUAUACUCAAUCAUACACAUGACAUCAAGUCAUAUUU
rnacentral:sRNA from 1 species